rnacentral:lncRNA from 1 species
UUAGUCCAUAAGGAAGUGCUGCUGACUCUUUUUGAAUUUGUUGGUUCUCAUUUGCCUGCAGCUUAAAACAAUACCAUGCCAGAGUGGAGCAUUCUUGUGGCCCUGCCUCUGGACACCGGCCACAUGACCAUAUGCAUUACUUUUACAUCUCUGAAGAGCAGUGAGAGGCUUCAUACCAAACGAUAUGAUUUUGCAUCUUUCCGGGUCUCACUGAUGAACAAAGAUGACCUACUGAGAUUUAAUCAGUUAUACUCUGAAAGCAUCUGUAAUGUUGAUAACUUAACCCAGAAUGGAAAAUCAACAACAGAGUCCUUGAGCUCAAAAAAUAAUUGAAUCUAACUCCCGAGUCUUCCCGAGAUGUGGGGAGAUUUCGUGACUUGAGUAAAUAACAAGUUGCCCUCUGGUGUGGCAGUCCAGUCCCUGACUGAGGGAGCAGAAGCCAGGAGGCCUGCAGGCUCUGCUGCACUUGGGUGCAAAUCACAUUAGCCCGGAAAACAAAGUUCAGUACUGACGAAUUCAGUAAACAAAGCAGCCUUUAGAAAAACAGGGGCAGAGAAAAGCUGGAAAACCCAAGGCCCCUGCAUUUGAAAACUCUGCAGACUUUGCUCCCUGGCCACAUCCCUCAGCAGUUGCAGGACCGAAGGACGGACCUAAACUCUUCACCUCUGCCUUCCGCAGAGGGCGUUCGGAACUGCUGGCCUGCAUCUCCCAGCACCUGUAGGAGCUCUGUCCACUACCAGAGCUGACCUAUGGUGUGCUCUCCAGAAGGAAUGAAUGAGCUUCUUUUUGCUGUUUUUCCUCAUGAGAACAUCAGGAAAAGGUUAAUGUAAAUGUAUUCUUGAAAAGUCACAAUGCUUCCCCCUGGGAGAUGGAGACAGGUACAACAGAACACAGGCGGGAGCUCAGAAACCACGGUGCAUGCAGCCCGAGGACCCUGUUGAAAGGAUCUUGUUGCAUCGGCAGCUCCUUUCCUCCACUUCAGUCACAUGCACCCCCUCCUGAGCUCCUUUCUCCCUGGGCCCGCCCUGCACAGCUGUAUCUUUGCUCCAGUCCCC